UUUGCUCUUUAAAAAUCUGGAUCAAGCUGAAAAUUGAAACACAGAACAACGAAAGUUGUUCGUGAGUCUCUCAAAUUUUCGCAACACGAUGAUGAAUCGUAAGAAACAUCUUCGGGUUGUGAGGUUAAGCGACUAAGCGUACACGGUGGAUGCCCUGGCAGUCAGAGGCGAUGAAGGACGUGCUAAUCUGCGAUAAGCGCCGGUAAGGUGAUAUGAACCGUUAUAACCGGCGAUUUCCGAAUGGGGAAACCCAGUGUGAUUCGUCACACUAUCAUUAACUGAAUCCAUAGGUUAAUGAGGCGAACCGGGGGAACUGAAACAUCUAAGUACCCCGAGGAAAAGAAAUCAACCGAGAUUCCCCCAGUAGCGGCGAGCGAACGGGGAGGAGCCCAGAGCCUGAAUCAGCAUGUGUGUUAGUGGAAGCGUCUGGAAAGGCGCGCGAUACAGGGUGACAGCCCCGUACACAAAAGCGCAUGUGCUGUGAGCUCGAUGAGUAGGGCGGGACACGUGGUAUCCUGUCUGAAUAUGGGGGGACCAUCCUCCAAGGCUAAAUACUCCUGACUGACCGAUAGUGAACCAGUACCGUGAGGGAAAGGCGAAAAGAACCCCGGCGAGGGGAGUGAAAAAGAACCUGAAACCGUGUACGUACAAGCAGUGGGAGCACAGGUUUACCUGUGUGACUGCGUACCUUUUGUAUAAUGGGUCAGCGACUUAUAUUCUGUAGCAAGGUUAACCGUAUAGGGGAGCCGGAGGGAAACCGAGUCUUAACCGGGCGUUAAGUUGCAGGGUAUAGACCCGAAACCCGGUGAUCUAGCCAUGGGCAGGUUGAAGGUUGGGUAACACUAACUGGAGGACCGAACCGACUAAUGUUGAAAAAUUAGCGGAUGACCUGUGGCUGGGGGUGAAAGGCCAAUCAAACCGGGAGAUAGCUGGUUCUCCCCGAAAGCUAUUUAGGUAGCGCCUCGUGAAUUCAUCUCCGGGGGUAGAGCACUGUUUCGGCUAGGGGGCCAUCCCGGCUUACCAACCCGAUGCAAACUGCGAAUACCGGAGAAUGUUAUCACGGGAGACACACGGCGGGUGCUAACGUCCGUCGUGAAGAGGGAAACAACCCAGACCGCCAGCUAAGGUCCCAAAGUCAUGGUUAAGUGGGAAACGAUGUGGGAAGGCCCAGACAGCCAGGAUGUUGGCUUAGAAGCAGCCAUCAUUUAAAGAAAGCGUAAUAGCUCACUGGUCGAGUCGGCCUGCGCGGAAGAUGUAACGGGGCUAAACCAUGCACCGAAGCUGCGGCAGCGACACUCAGGUGUUGUUGGGUAGGGGAGCGUUCUGUAAGCCUGUGAAGGUGGCCUGUGAGGGUUGCUGGAGGUAUCAGAAGUGCGAAUGCUGACAUAAGUAACGAUAAAGCGGGUGAAAAGCCCGCUCGCCGGAAGACCAAGGGUUCCUGUCCAACGUUAAUCGGGGCAGGGUGAGUCGACCCCUAAGGCGAGGCCGAAAGGCGUAGUCGAUGGGAAACGGGUUAAUAUUCCCGUACUUGGUGUUACUGCGAAGGGGGGNNNNNNNNNNNNNNNNNNNNGGGGGGACGGAGAAGGCUAUGUUGGCCGGGCGACGGUUGUCCCGGUUUAAGCGUGUAGGUGUGUGUUCCAGGUAAAUCCGGUUCACUUUAACACUGAGGCGUGACGACGAGGCACUACGGUGCUGAAGCAACAAAUGCCCUGCUUCCAGGAAAAGCCUCUAAGCAUCAGGUAACAUCAAAUCGUACCCCAAACCGACACAGGUGGUCAGGUAGAGAAUACCAAGGCGCUUGAGAGAACUCGGGUGAAGGAACUAGGCAAAAUGGUGCCGUAACUUCGGGAGAAGGCACGCUGACACGUAGGUGAAGUGAUUUACUCAUGGAGCUGAAGUCAGUCGAAGAUACCAGCUGGCUGCAACUGUUUAUUAAAAACACAGCACUGUGCAAACACGAAAGUGGACGUAUACGGUGUGACGCCUGCCC
rnacentral:rRNA from 1 species